UACGAAGGGGGCUAGCGUUGCUCGGAUUGACUGGGCGUAAAGGGCGCGUAGGCGGUUCGUACAGUCAGACGUGAAAUUCCUGGGCUCAACCUGGGGGCUGCGUUUGAUACGUGCGGGCUUGAGUUCGGAAGAGGGUCGUGGAAUUCCCAGUGUAGAGGUGAAAUUCGUAGAUAUCGGGAGGAACACCGGUGGCGAAGGCGGUUCUCUGGGCCUGACCUGACGCUGAGGAGCGAAAGCGUGGGGAGCGAACAGG
rnacentral:rRNA from 1 species